UACGUAGGGGGCGAGCGUUGUCCGGAAUCAUUGGGCGUAAAGCGCGUGUAGGCGGCCCGGUAAGUCCGCUGUGAAAGUCCAGGGCUCAACCCUGGGAUGCCGGUGGAUACUGUCGGGCUAGAGUCCGGAAGAGGAGUGUGGAAUUCCUGGUGUGGCGGUGAAAUGCGCAGAUAUCAGGAGGAACACCGGUGGCGAAGGCAGCUCUCUGGGACGGUACUGACGCUGAGACGCGAAAGCGUGGGGAGCGAACAGG
rnacentral:rRNA from 1 species